rnacentral:rRNA from 1 species
AACGCGAAGAACCUUACCUACCCUUGACAUGGGGAACCGCUGAGAGGUGGGAGUGCGAAAGAGAACCGGCGCACAGGUGCUGCAUGGCUGGAGCGUGGUGAGAUGUUGGGUUAAGCCGCAACGAGCGCAACCCUUGAUUAGUUGCUACGAAAGGGCACUAAUGAGACUGCCGGUGACAAACCGGAGGAAGGUGGGGAUGACGAAGCAUGGCCCUUACGGGCUGGGCUACACACGUGCUACAAUGGCGGAGACAGAGGGAUGCAAAGGGGCGACCCUGCAAAAAAAAGCCGCCAGUGGAUUGGGGUGCAACGACCCCAUGAAGUUGGAAGCUAGUAAGCAGAAGCACGCUGCGGUGAAUACGUCCGGGUUGUACACACCG